GAUGAACGCUGGCGGCGUGCCUAAUACAUGCAAGUCGAGCGAACGGACGAUAAGCUUGCUUUCCUGAUGUUAGCGGCGGACGGGUGAGUAACACGUGGAUCACCUACCUAUAUGACUUUGAUAACUUCGUGAAACCGGAUCUAAUACCGGAUCAUAUUUUGAACCGCAUGGUUCAAAAGUAAAAGACGGUCUUGCUGUCACUUAUAGAUGGUUUCGCGCUGCAUUAGCUAGUUGGUAAGGUAACGGCUUACCAAGGCAACGAUGCAUAGCUGACCUGAGAGGGUGAUCGGCCACACUGGAACUGAGAAAAGGUCCAGACUCCUACGGGAGGCAGCAGUGGGGAAUAUUGCGCAAUGGGCGAAAGCCUGACGGAGCAAAGCCGCGUGGGUGAUGAAGGUAUUCGGAUCGUAAAACUCUGUUGUUAGGGAAGAACAUAUGUGUAAGUAAAUGUGCACAUCUUGACGGUACCUAAUGAGAAAGCCACGGCUAACUACGUG
rnacentral:rRNA from 1 species